rnacentral:rRNA from 1 species
AGCAGCCGCGGUAAUUCCAGCUCCAAUAGCGUAUAUUAAAGUUGUUGCAGUUAAAAAGCUCGUAGUUGAAUUUCGGGAUCAAUGUUUCGGUCAUGCCGUUGGUAUGUACUGAUAUUAUUGGUUUCUCACCUUCUAAAGAACCGUAAUGCCAUUAAUUUGGUGUCACGGGGAAUUAGGACUGUUACCUUGAAAAAAUUAGAGUGUUUAAAGCAGGCUCACGCCUGAAUACAUUAGCAUGGAAUAAUGAAAUAGGACAUCCGAUUCUAUUUUGUUGGUUUCUAGGAUCGAUGUAAUGAUUAAUAGGGAUAGUUGGGGGCAUUAGUAUUCAAUUGUCAGAGGUGAAAUUCUUGGAUUUAUUGAAGACUAACUACUGCGAAAGCAUUUGCCAAGGAUGUUUUCAUUAAUCAAGAACGAAAGUUAGGGGAUCGAAGACGAUCAGAUACCGUCGUAGUCUUAACCAUAAACUAUGCCGACUAGGGAUCGGAUGAUGUUAAUUUUUUAAUGACUC